rnacentral:rRNA from 1 species
CCUACGGGAGGCUGCAGUGAGGAAUAUUGGUCAAUGGGCGGGAGCCUGAACCAGCCAAGCCGCGUGAGGGAAGAAGGUACAGCGUAUCGUAAACCUCUUUUGUCAGGGAACAAAGGCGGGGACUAGUCCCCGGAUGAGGGUACCUGAAGAAAAAGCAUCGGCUAACUCCGUGCCAGCAGCCGCGGUAAUACGGAGGAUGCGAGCGUUAUCCGGAUUUAUUGGGUUUAAAGGGUGCGUAGGCGGAUUUUUAAGUCAGCGGUAAAAUGUCCGGGCUCAACCCGGGCCGGCCGUUGAAACUGGGGGUCUUGAGUGGGGGAGAGGUAUGCGGAAUGCGUGGUGUAGCGGUGAAAUGCAUAGAUAUCACGAAGAACUCCGAUUGCGAAGGCAGCAUACCGGCGCCCGACUGACGCUGAGGCACGAAAGCGUGGGGAUCGAACAGGAUUAGAUACCCGUGUAGUC